rnacentral:snRNA from 1 species
GUUUUUGUACUGGCAUAGCCACAUCAAUGUGUUCUUAUCAGUUUAAUAUCUGAGAGAUCCUUUAUUUGAGGACUGUAUAUUAAAUUUAUUUUUGAAAUGGGGCUGAAAUAGGAGCUUACUCUGUCCACCCCAUGCAUUGACCUGGUAUUGUAGUGCCUCCAGGACUGGUUUUAAAAAA